GGCGUAUGCCCAGGCAGACUGCGAGGGGUUUGUGCUGUGAGACCCAAAGUCCUUAUGAGAUUGUCUGAGACAAAAAGGCACAUCAGCAGGGCCUAUGGUGAUUCUGUGUGUGCCAAGUGUGUCCGUGACAGGAUCAAGCGGGCUUUCCUUAUUGAGGAGCAGAAAAUUGUGAAAGUGUUGAAGGCACAAGCACAGAGUCAGAAAGCAAAAUAAAUACGCAACUUUUUUAAGUAAUAAAAAUCAAGACUUGGGGAGCUGGAGAGAUGGCUCAGCGGUUAAGAGCACCCGACUACUCUUCCAGAGGUCCUGAGUUCAAUUCCCAGCAACCACAUGGUGGCUCACAACCAUCUGUAAAGAGAUCCGAUGCCCUCUUCUGGUGUAUCUGAAGACAGCUACAGUGUACUUAUAUAUAAUAAAUGAAUAAAUCUUU
rnacentral:lncRNA from 1 species